AUUCCCGUUGAUCCUGCGGGAGGUCGCUGCUAUCGGGAUUCGAAUUAGGCAUGCAAGUCAAGAUCUCUUCGGAGGUCGGCGAAAGGCUCAGUAACACGUCGAUAAUCUGCCCUAUGGUCUGGGAUACGCUCGGGAAACUGAGUAUAAUACCGGAUAUGAGAAAGUCACUGGAAAGUUCUUUCUCUGAAAGGUUACGCCAUAGGAUGAGUCGGCGGCUGAUUAGGCUGUUGGUGAGGUAACGGCUCACCAAACCGAUGAUCAGUAGGGGGUAUGAGAGUACUGUCCUCGAGAAGGGCACUGAGACAAGGGCCCUAGCCCUAAGGGGUGCAGCAGCCACGAAAACUUUACAAUGCGCGAAAGCGCGAUAGGGGAAUCCCGAGUGCUUGCCUUACGGCAGGCUUUUGUUAAGUGUAAGGAGCUUGACGAAUAAGUGGUGGGUAAUACUGGUGCCAGCCGCCGCGGUAACACCAGAGCCACUAGUGGGGGCCAUUUUUAUUGGGUCUAAAGCGUCCGUAGCCUGUCUGAAAAGUCCUUUGUGAAAUUGUUCGGCUUAACCGAGCAGCGUGCAAGGGAAACUAUCGGACUUGGGACCGGGAGACGAUAAGAGUAUACCUUGGGGAGCGGUUAAAUGUUUUAAUCCUUGGUAGACUACCGAUAGCGAAGGCACUUAUCGAGAACGGGUCUGACGGUCAGGGACGAAGGCUGGGGGAGCAAACUAGCGCCAAGAUAGCUUUAUAAACAAAGAAGUUUAGGGGGUUACAUGAGGAUUAGACAACUCGUGAAACUUUCAUCCUAUCUUUUAUCCGACGGAGGAAUAUCACCAAGAGGCAAAAAUUCAUACACAAUAUAUUUCAGUAAUAACGAUGCUUCUUUGGUUGAUAAUUUUCAGAUUCAACUUAAAAAAUGUAUUCACAAAGAGGGAUACAAAUCUUUAAGAAAAAAUGGAUCAACCUUCGUAAAAAUACACUCAAAAAAUUUAGCUAAGGAAUUAUUUAAAGUCUCUAAGUCAUAUAGGACAAAAGCUUGUAAAAACAAUCCAAUUUGUCCGCAUAUAAAAAAUAAGAGACCAGCACACAUCAAUACAAUAUUGGUUGAUGGAAUUGAAUAUCCUGCUGCAGAAAUACCAGUUGAGUUAUUAAAAAAAGAUAAAACCCUUGCAAAAGAUUUUUUAAGAAUAUAUGCAAGUUGUGAUGGAGGAGUUUCAGUUUCAGCUGCAAAAAAUAAAAAAAAUUCCAUUUUUUUAGUAAGGAAAAUUUUUAUUGAAGUAGCACAUCCUACAUUGAAGCAGCAAAUUUAUACACUGCUCAAACAUCUAAAAUAUAACCCUAAGUGUUACAAAACAAGCAUAAGAUUAACUACAAAAGAAGAUUUUAUAAAGUUUCAUAAAGAGAUUGGUUUUAUUAAAAAAUCAAAAAUAUCAAAACAUUCAAAGAAUUUUGUUGGUUAUGAAAAAAAUAAAGUUCUCAAGAUGUUAAUUGAUUCUUAUAAUAAUCCUCAAAAUCUCCUAAAUUUAUUGUUGAAGAAUUAAUCUUGGUCUAGGCUCAGAACGGAUUAGAUACCCGUGUAGUCCCAGCAGUAAACGCUGCCCAUUAUGUGUUGCGUAUCCCACGAGGGUAUGCAGUGCCGUAGCGAAGGCGUUAAAUGGGCCACCUGGGUAGUACGGUCGCAAGACUGAAACUUUAAGGAAUUGGCGGGGGAGCACUACAAUCGGUGACGCGUGCGGUUUAAUUUAACUCCACACAGAGAAUCUCACCAGCAGCGACGGCAGUAUGAAGGUCAGAUUGAAGGUCUUACCUGACGAGCCGAGAGAUGUUGCAUGGCCGCCGUCAGCUCGUGCCGCAAGGUGUCCGGUUAAGUCCGGCAACGAGCAAGACCUGUACUUCUAUUUGCUAACGAGUCCUCCGGGAUGAUCGAGCACAAUAGCGGGACUGCCUUGGUAACAAGGAGGAAGGUGCAGGCAACGGUAGGUCUGUAUGACUCGAAUCUGCUGGGCUACACGCGCGCGGCAAUGUCUAGUACAAUUGGAUGCAACUCCGAAAGGAGAAGCUAAUCCCCGAAAGCUAGGCCUAGUACAGAUUGAGGGUUGUAACUUACCCUCAUGACGCUGGAAUCGAUAGUAAUCGCUUGUCAUCAGCAAGCGGUGAAUACGUCCCUGUUCCUUGCACACACUGCCCGUCAAAUCAACCGAGCAGGGUUUAAGUGAGGGUUGCAUUACGGUGCGAUUCGAACUUAGAUUCAGUGAGGUGGGUUAAGUCGUCACAAGGUAUCCGUAGGGGAACCUGCGGAUGGAUCACCUCCU
rnacentral:rRNA from 1 species